ACGGGUGAGUAACACGUAAGCAACCUGCCUUUAAGACGAGAAUAACAAUUGGAAACAGUUGCUAAGGCUGGAUAGGAAAUAAAAAGGCAUCUUUUUAUUUUUAAAAGACCUUCUUCGGAGGGUAUGCUUAAAGAGGGGCUUGCGUCACAUUAGUUAGUUGGUAGGGUAAUGGCCUACCAAGACGAUGAUGUGUAGCUGGACUGAGAGGUUGAACAGCCACAUUGGGACUGAGACACGGCCCAAACUCCUACGGGAGGCAGCAGUAGGGAAUUUUCGGCAAUGGAGGAAACUCUGACCGAGCAACGCCGCGUGAACGACGAAGUACUUCGGUAUGUAAAGUUCUUUUAUUGAAGAAGAAACAAUAGUGGAAAAACUAUCUUGACGUUAUUCAAUGAAUAAGCCCCGGCUAACUAUGUGCCAGCAGCCGCGGUAAUACAUAGGGGGCGAGCGUUAUCCGGAAUUAUUGGGCGUAAAGGGUGCGUAGGCGGUUUAAUAAGUCUCUAGUUUAAUUUCAACGCUUAACGUUGUCCUGCUAGAGAAACUGUUUGACUAGAGUGAGAUAGAGGUAAGCGGAAUUCCAUGUGUAGCGGUAAAAUGUGUAAAUAUAUGGAGGAACACCAGAGGCGUAGGCGGCUUACUGGGUCUUUACUGACGCUGAUGCACGAAAGCGUGGGGAGCAAACAGGAUUAGAUACCCUGGUAGUCCACGCCGUAAACUAUGAGUACUAAGUGUCGGGGUUAAACUCGGUACUGAAGUUAACACAUUAAGUACUCCGCCUGAGUAGUACGUACGCAAGUAUGAAACUUAAAGGAAUUGACGGGAUCCCGCACAAGCGGUGGAUCAUGUUGUUUAAUUCGAAGAUACACGAAAAACCUUACCAGGUCUUGACAUACUCUGCAAAACUAUAGAAAUAUAGUGGAGGUUAUCAGGGAUACAGGUGGUGCAUGGUUGUCGUCAGCUCGUGUCGUGAGAUGUUAGGUUAAGUUCUAAAACGAGCGCAACCCCUGUCGUUAAUUGCCAGCACGUUAUGGUGGGGACUUUAGCGAGACUGCCAAUGAAAAAUUGGAGGAAGGUGGGGAUUACGUCAAAUCAUCAUGCCCCUUAUGAUCUGGGCUACAAACGUGAUACAAUGGCUAUUACAAAGAGUAGCUUAAACGCGAGUUUUUGGCAAAUCUCAAAAAAAUAGUCUUAGUUCGGAUUGAAGUCUGCAACUCGACUUCAUGAAGUUGGAAUCGCUAGUAAUCGCGAAUCAGCAUGUCGCGGUGAAUACGUUCUCGGGGUUUGUACACACCGCCC
rnacentral:rRNA from 1 species